rnacentral:rRNA from 1 species
ACAGGUGCUGCAUGGCUGUCGUCAGCUCGUGUCGUGAGAUGUUGGGUUAAGUCCCGCAACGAGCGCAACCCUUGCCUUUAGUUGCCAGCAGUUCGGCUGGGCACUCUAAAGGGACUGCCGGUGUUAAACCGGAGGAAGGUGGGGAUGACGUCAAGUCCUCAUGGCCUUUAUGACCAGGGCUACACACGUACUACAAUGGCCGAUACAAAGGGCAGCGACACUGCGAGGUGAAGCCAAUCCCGUAAAAUCGGUCUCAGUCCGGAUUGGAGUCUGCAACUCGACUCCAUGAAGUUGGAAUCGCUAGUAAUCGUGAAUCAGAAUGUCACGGUGAAUACGUUCCCGGGCCUU